rfam:Pteropus vampyrus cont1.45127, whole genome shotgun sequence.
GAGGUCAAGUCGGUGUCAGUGUGAUCAGUUUUAUUGCCAGGACAUAGGGUGAACAAGAUUUCUUUAAAAGCCAUUGGAAUAACUCCUUGAUUCCGGGCUGCGAAAAAGAUCGCACUGGGAGGGGAGGAGCGGCUGGUAAACCAGAA